GGGGGCGUCACGGCUUCGACGGAGAUGCAUGGCAUACGCUGCUUAAUUAGUUAAGUAGCCGUCCUCCGCGGCUUGGCCCGUGGGCUGCGGAAGGGCGUCGCACAGCGGGCUGGUCUUUGCGGCUACGUCUGGGCCGCGAGGACGAGAUCUUCAGGCUAGCGGCUUCGGUUUCUUGUCCGUUCUGAGCGGAGGCCGCGAAGGUUCCAGGGUAAUUCCUGGAGCAUGAACUGGACUACGCAUGUAGGCUCUUGACCAGUGACAUUUUCGGACGCGGGUUCGACUCCCGCCGCCUCCACCA
rnacentral:tmRNA from 1 species